rnacentral:rRNA from 1 species
GACGAAGGAUGCAAGCGUUAUCCGGAUUCAUUGGGUUUAAAGGGAGCGUAGGCGGCCUUGUAAGUCAGUGGUGAAAUCUUCCCGCUUAACGGGAAAACUGCCAUUGAUACUGCUUGGCUAGAGUAUAGAUGCUGUGGGCGGAAUAUGACAUGUAGUGGUGAAAUACAUAGAGAUGUCAUAGAACACCGAUUGCGAAGGCAGCUCACAAAACUGUAACUGACGCUGAGGCUCGAAAGUGUGGGGAUCAAACAGG